AAGCAUGUCAAAGUGCAAGUAGAUAAAUAGGUACUGCUCCGGCAGGAAGAUAAACAGCAUUUCCGUGCACUGCUCUGGUUCGCCAGAAGUGGCUUAGGCAUGCUGGCCACAUGACCCGGAAGCUGUACGGCCAAUAAAGCGAGAUGAGUGGCGCAACCCCAGAGUCGGUCACAACUGGACCUAAUGGUCAGGGGUCCCUUUACCUUUAAGUGUCUCCUUACGGUUCAGCAGUUCUCAACCUGUGGGUCCCCAGAUGUUGUUGGACUACAACUCCCAUCAUCCCUGAGCUUUGGCCUUGCUAGCUGGGGGUGAUGGGAGUUGUAGUUCAACAACAUCUGGGGACCCACAGGUUGAGAAAGGCUGGGUUAGAUGAAUAUCAUUCUUAGGGGAAUCGGUGCCUUUUCACUUGUUCAUAAUUCUGGGCGGAAUUAAGCCCCCAAAAUGGAAUAAGUCACUCUUAUGUCUCUUAUAAGACCUUCAGGUGAAGAGUGGAUUAUAAAUGCUUGUAGAAAGAAAGAAAAAAUGAAUAAAUCUAUCAGAUGUGCUUGUGGUUUUCUCCUUUCAGAUGUGGAAUCCAUUCCACAUAUAUGAGGGUUUUCUUGUCCAGAGCUGCCCUCUCAUUGCAGGGAAUGGAAAAGUCUACUCUGACGGGAGCUUUGUCUGCAUAAGGACUUCUAGGUUGGAGCAAGACAAGAUGUAAGUUCUACAUAGCACAGCUAUGGAAGCCAGACUAGGUCUGGAGAGAUCCAGGUUCAGAUUCCCCGCUUUGUCAUAAAACUCAACAUUGCUCAGCCCAACCUAGCUCAGAGGGUUGUGUGAAGAUAAAAUUGGGGCAAGCAUUGAGCUGAGAAAGCACAGGGAAAUGUGAGAAGACACGUUGGGAUAUUUCAGUAUGAAUUCGUUCACACACAGCAUUGCUUUUGGACCUAGCGCAAUGCCCUGUCUCCUUAUGUCUUCAUUCAAAUGCUGAAUCUUGUACAUGCUCCAGGCAGUUCUUACUUCAAUAUGCUGAUUUAGGGCAGUGCUUCUUUCCCUUGGUUUGAUGGUAACACUACCAUAUGUCUUGGGUAUUCCUGGUGCCCUCUCCUCUAUCCCCACAUCUCUCUUAUCACCAGUCUCAGAAGAAGAAUUCACAUUACAUUAAAUUGCAAGGCAGUGCUGAAGCAGUCCGUUGAAAUUACUGGAGCCACACUGCGACUGAUUUGAAAGUGAAACAUCUGUGGUGAACAAGGAGGGUGGAAAUCAGCAGCUCAGUAGGGGACUCAGUUUUUGUUUUAUUUUUAAAUCUCUAUGCUGUUCGAGGCCCUGGGGGGUGGAAUUCUGCAAUUCAAAUGUAAAGGAGCAGAAAAAAUGUCUAUUUAUUUCAAAUGAAAUAUAUGUAACCCUGAAACACAUGUAUAUUGGGGUAUGUGCACGAAAUGAUGUUUGACGGACGAAAAUAAAGGGAGUGUGUGCCUUUAGCUGGGGCUAAGCAAUACAGCACAUGAUUUCAUCCAUGA